GUCCCUGAUGUUAGCGGCGGACGGGUGAGUAACACGUGGGUAACCUGCCUGUAAGACUGGGAUAACUCCGGGAAACCGGGGCUAAUACCGGAUGGUUGUUUGAACCGCAUGGUUCAGACAUAAAAGGUGGCUUCGGCUACCACUUACAGAUGGACCCGCGGCGCAUUAGCUAGUUGGUGAGGUAACGGCUCACCAAGGCGACGAUGCGUAGCCGACCUGAGAGGGUGAUCGGCCACACUGGGACUGAGACACGGCCCAGACUCCUACGGGAGGCAGCAGUAGGGAAUCUUCCGCAAUGGACGAAAGUCUGACGGAGCAACGCCGCGUGAGUGAUGAAGGUUUUCGGAUCGUAAAGCUCUGUUGUUAGGGAAGAACAAGUGCCGUUCAAAUAGGGCGGCACCUUGACGGUACCUAACCAGAAAGCCACGGCUAACUACGU
rnacentral:rRNA from 1 species